CUGCUCACUUUGGCACCACAUAUACUAAAAUUGGAACAAUGUAGAGAUUAGCAUGGCUCCUUCACAAGGAUGACAUGCAAAUUCAUAAAGCAUUCUUUU
rnacentral:snRNA from 1 species